GCCCCUUUUUUCUGCAGCUGGCUUACCGAAGCACCUCACUGGAGUUCUUUGAUGAUGGGGCAAGCAGAGAGAAUCAAAGAUUGAACCAAUCAGGAUUAUCUCAGCAGUUUUUGUAUUUUUACCAAAACAAGAGACUUGCCUAGCCCAACCUUUCCUCAUACUCGCUAUUCCCCAGACCUGGGUUCCAGCCACUUUCUUCUUGGCUCCAAGGAGAAUUUCCAAUGAGAUGCCUGCCGUGUUUGCAUAGCUCAGCCAUGCUCCCAUUGCUCAUCCCAGUUCUGGGAAUGAUUUUUGCCCUGAGAGAUGCCAGAGCCCAGUCUGUGAGCCAGCCUGACUACCAUGUAAUUCUCUCUGAAGGAGCCUCACUGGAGUUGAGAUGCAACUAUUCCUAUGGUGGAACUGUUACUCUCUUCUGGUAUGUCCAGAACCCUGGUCAAGACCUUCAGCUUCUCCUCAAGUACUAUUCAGGGGACACACUGGUUAAAGGCAUCAAAGGCUUUGAGGCUGAAUUGAUGAAGAGUAGCUCUUCCUUUAACCUGAAGAAACCCUCUGUGCAGUGGAGUGACACGGCUGAGUACUUCUGUGCUGUGAAAGCCACAGUGUCUGGGACUGCAAAGGGAGCCGAACACAAACUUUGUAAGGUGCUGGAGGAAUAA